rnacentral:rRNA from 1 species
GAUUUCUGGUUUGAUAUGCCUGGCCCGCCAUGGUUACAUGUGUGAGUGCCGGUGCGUGUCUGCCAUCCUUCUAGAAAACGUGUCUACCCUUCACUGGGCCGGGCGCGCUAUCUAGAUCAUUUACUUUGAAAAAAUUAGAGUGUUUAAAGCAGGCUUUUGGCUAUGAAUACAUUAGCAUGGAAUAAUAAUUUAGGACUUUGGCCCUAUUUUGUUGGUUUCUAGGACUGAAGUAAUGAUUGAUAGGGAUAGUUGGGGGUGCUCGAAUUCAGCGGCCAGAGGUGAAAUUCUUGGAUUCGCUGAAGACUAACUUAUGCGAAAGCAUU